UAAAACACAGACAUCUUGAUGUAGCACAA
rnacentral:sRNA from 1 species